CCUGAACAUUUUCUGCUCAACAUGUUCCCCCCCACAACUGAGGAAAUUACAAAAGAGUUUAAUUCUUCAUAUUCUCACAGCCACAAGAACCACCAUUAUUGAAAAUUGGAAAACAAACCUGCAACCACCGAUUUACUCAGUAGUGACCUCCUUGAAACAUAGCCGACAAUAUAAAGAAAUGACCCAUAAACCCAUCAACACUUUAUCAAAAUUCAAGAAAGUUUGGGUGGCAUUGGAUACCGUGUAACAGAAUGUCCAUUAGGACUCAUCAGGGCUACCAUGUACCAACCCCUUAUUAUUCUUCCUCCCAUUAUUUUUUUAUGUCCCACCAUUCCACACUUCUGCUCUUCCUUAGCUCUGGUCUAAGCCUCUUUUACUUCUCAUUUCCUACAUCUUAUUGAUACCUACAUAUCUUCUCUCUACAUGACACAGUUAUCCUGAAUUACACACACAUUGCUUACAUGACGUGAAGGACCUGGGAGAUCUGUAUUAUGUGAUGUAUAAUUUACUGACUGAACUGUCGACUUUUAUGUUAUAUGUCACGAACGUGGGCUAUUGGCCCAGCCAAGACAGUGGGGAGAGUGUGGAAGUACAAGGGUUAAUGGGUUAUCUGUUGCUAGUCCCAGCAACCACUAAAUUAACCUCUGCAAUAUCUUCUACACUAACACCCUAGUACACACUUUACUACCACCACCAAGACUUUCAAUCCGGGCAUCUGAGGUUACCCCACACACAGUAGAUUUAUAGGAUCACAACCUUACUCUACUGAUCAGACAUAUAUAAUCAACCCUUUUGGUAACGUGCUUACCUGAGCUUUCCUCAGGAGAGUGAGCUCAUAGAGAACAAACAUUAAGUAAACAUUUAAUCUGGCAAAAAGGAUUUACAGUGCUGUG